CGUAGAGUUUGAAUCCUGGCUCAGGAUGAACGCUGGCGGCGUGCCUAAUACAUGCAAGUCGAGCGAACAGAUGAGAAGCUUGCUUCUCUGAUGUUAGCGGCGGACGGGUGAGUAACACGUGGGUAACCUACCUAUAAGACUGGGAUAACUCCGGGAAACCGGGGCUAAUACCGGAUAAUAUUUUGAACCGCAUGGUUCAAUAGUGAAAGACGGUUUCGGCUGUCACUUAUAGAUGGACCCGCGCCGUAUUAGCUAGUUGGUAAGGUAACGGCUUACCAAGGCGACGAUACGUAGCCGACCUGAGAGGGUGAUCGGCCACACUGGAACUGAGACACGGUCCAGACUCCUACGGGAGGCAGCAGUAGGGAAUCUUCCGCAAUGGGCGAAAGCCUGACGGAGCAACGCCGCGUGAGUGAUGAAGGUCUUCGGAUCGUAAAACUCUGUUGUUAGGGAAGAACAAAUUUGUUAGUAACUGAACAAGUCUUGACGGUACCUAACCAGAAAGCCACGGCUAACUACGUGCCAGCAGCCGCGGUAAUACGUAGGUGGCAAGCGUUAUCCGGAAUUAUUGGGCGUAAAGCGCGCGUAGGCGGUUUCUUAAGUCUGAUGUGAAAGCCCACGGCUCAACCGUGGAGGGUCAUUGGAAACUGGGAAACUUGAGUGCAGAAGAGGAGAGUGGAAUUCCAUGUGUAGCGGUGAAAUGCGCAGAGAUAUGGAGGAACACCAGUGGCGAAGGCGGCUCUCUGGUCUGUAACUGACCGCUGAUGUGCGAAAGCGUGGGGAUCAAACAGGAUUAGAUACCCUGGUAGUCCACGCCGUAAACGAUGAGUGCUAAGUGUUAGGGGGUUUCCGCCCCUUAGUGCUGCAGCUAACGCAUUAAGCACUCCGCCUGGGGAGUACGACCGCAAGGUUGAAACUCAAAGGAAUUGACGGGGACCCGCACAAGCGGUGGAGCAUGUGGUUUAAUUCGAAGCAACGCGAAGAACCUUACCAAAUCUUGACAUCCUUUGACCGCUCUAGAGAUAGAGUCUUCCCCUUCGGGGGACAAAGUGACAGGUGGUGCAUGGUUGUCGUCAGCUCGUGUCGUGAGAUGUUGGGUUAAGUCCCGCAACGAGCGCAACCCUUAAGCUUAGUUGCCAUCAUUAAGUUGGGCACUCUAGGUUGACUGCCGGUGACAAACCGGAGGAAGGUGGGGAUGACGUCAAAUCAUCAUGCCCCUUAUGAUUUGGGCUACACACGUGCUACAAUGGAUAAUACAAAGGGCAGCGAAUCCGCGAGGCCAAGCAAAUCCCAUAAAAUUAUUCUCAGUUCGGAUUGUAGUCUGCAACUCGACUACAUGAAGCUGGAAUCGCUAGUAAUCGUAGAUCAGCAUGCUACGGUGAAUACGUUCCCGGGUCUUGUACACACCGCCCGUCAC
rnacentral:rRNA from 1 species